AUUGAACGCUGGCGGCAUGCCUUACACAUGCCAGUCGAACGGUAACAGGUCUUCGGAUGCUGACGAGUGGCGAACGGGUGAGUAAUACAUCGGAACGUGCCCGAUCGUGGGGGAUAACGAAGCGAAAGCUUUGCUAAUACCGCAUAAGAUCUACGGAUGAAAGCAGGGGACCGCAAGGCCUUGCGCGAACGGAGCGGCCGAUGGCAGAUUAGGUAGUUGGUGGGAUAAAAGCUUACCAAGCCGACGAUCUGUAGCUGGUCUGAGAGGACGAUCAGCCACACUGGGACUGAGACACGGCCCAGACUCCUACGGGAGGCAGCAGUGGGGAAUUUUGGACAAUGGGCGAAAGCCUGAUCCAGCCAUGCCGCGUGCAGGAUGAAGGCCUCCGGGUUGUAAACUGCUUUUGUACGGAACGAAAAGACUCUGGUUAAUACCUGGGGUCCAUGACGGUACCGUAAGAAUAAGCACCGGCUAACUACGUG
rnacentral:rRNA from 1 species